GCACGCAACAUACCGAGGCUGGCGCUGGAGUGCCUGGCGGCGCGCGGGCGGCGCGAGCUGGGUGGGCGGCCCGGCCUGUCGCAGCGCACGCAGCCUCUCCCCGCCCCCCAGCUGCCGCCAAUGGGCAGGCGCGGGGCGGGGCCGGGGCAGGCGCGGGGCGGGGCCGGGCGCAUACCCGCGGCCUCCCCCUCGCGCCCGGCGGAGCUGCCCCGGGAUCGCUUGUUGCCCACGCGCGCGUUCGCGGAGAGAGACAUCCCAGAGCUUGGCACUGGGGACACAGGGAGGAAUGAGAGGACAUAGGAUAGGAAGGCAGAUGGAUGCCAGGUCAAAUGUGUGCACUUCAACCAGAUAAAUACCAGCAGAAGUCCAGGAAGGAGUGAAGAAACCUGGCAGGAGGAGCUGAGCUGGGCAGAGUGAGAACAUUUAAGAUCUACUCUCAGCAACUUUCAAGUAUGUAAUACAGUAUUGUUAACUAUAGUACUGUGCUGUACAUUAGAUCUCCAGAAUUUGUUCAUCUUAUAACUGGAAGUUUGUACCCUUUGACCAAUAUCUACUUGUUUCCCCCAAUUCUCAGCCUCUCAUAACCACAAUUCUACUCUUUCUAUGGGUUUUCCUUUUGUAGAUUUCACAUACAACUUUGGUCCAUCCAUGUUGUUGCAAAUGGCAGGAUUCUUUUCUCAUGCUUGAAUAAUAUUCC